CUGGUCCAGACAACACCUUCAACUAGGAUUCCCUCCUCCACCCCCUCUUCCCUUACCCCUUCCUCCACCCAUAUUGCUGCUCCUCUUCCUCACCUUAUCACCUCAAAACCAACUAUAGUCAGUUUUGCCUUUUCUACUUCCGGUCAUGCCUCCAACAUCUCUCUUUCCUCCGAGUCAGUGCUGUCACAGUCUGUGAGCUCUGCAAAACCUUCUCUAGGGGGAAAAGGAAUAUUUUCACCUUUUGGUCUCAGGGGCAGCAGAGAGACGACAUAGAGACGGAGAUGUGGAAGCACACCAACAGUGAGAUGAAUCUACACAGCCAGGGUGGAGCAGAGGAAGACGAUGAAGAAGAAGAAUCAUACAGGAAGUACUCCAGUGAUAUCACGCUGUGUGUGCAUCCAGGUAUCAAAGCAAACUUUUCAGAGUAGCCUCAGGACAUUUCUUUAGGUGCUUUGUGAAAGUUAAUAGAAUGAUAAACAGCACUGAUAUAAGCCAGUCUAUGUCUGAAAGUGUUAGAAAUGCUCUGAUUGGUAUAUUAUCAAAGUAAUUGUAAAUAUGCACAUGGUGUUCCUUCUUGUUCAAUUAUGAUGUUGUUGCACUGCAGGAUGAAUUUGGAAUCUAUCAGAUGCCUCCCUGAUAGGUUUGUGUGAUCUAAAGAUCUAAAGUGCACAAAUCUUUUGAACAUUAUUGUACUUAUUGUGUCCUUUUUCUAUAAACAUAGUUAUUGAGAUUGAAAAGCUGCAGCUAUCCAGUGUUUGCGUGCAUAAGCAUAUGAAUUUCCACUUUAUGUAUUUUUUUCAUAAAUCUACCUAAUUUUAUAGGUGUAAAGUUUUAUGCUUCAUUCACUGACUAUACAUAAAGAUCAAUGAAUGCUCUGUGGCGUCACCCAUAGGUAUCCCGGAGAUCAGUUAUAAAAUGUUGUGGCAAGCUGUUGCUUUUCCCAGUAGAGUUAGGGAGCUGGACUGACAAAUGUCUGUAUAUAAUUGAUAUCUUUAUAUAUUUCAUUCUUUAAUUGCACAGUACUCCUUUGUGUCAAGUCUCUUUAUACUUUCCGGCAAUACCAGUUGUCAUAAAUGUGAAAAUCAGUCAUGGAGAUCAAAACUGCUUUUUUGUGUCAGCUAUAAAAUUGAACAUCUUUUCAUGGGGGUCAAUGGGAAUGAAUCAUUUUUUGAGCAAGCCUCAAGUGGACACUAAAGGAACUGCAUUUUGGGGCACUUAGAUAUUUAAUUUUUCAGUCCUAGAGGUUGCUGCUCGGAUUCAUUUUUGGUCUUGAGAAAGCAAGAGGUAUUUUCAACUUUCACUCACUCACUCAUGUGUUUUAAAUUUUUUCACUUAUAGAGUAAAAAACGAUAUAAAGGUCAUAAAUAAAAAUACAAACACAUACUAGUUUGAUGACUCAGUUAACUCAAUGAAUGAAUGAAUUGCCAUCUUCAAAUGCAUUUUGAGUAUUUUUACAAUAACAAUUUCUCUAAAAUCAUGAUCGCUAUACUAUAUUGACCAAUGUGAGUGUUUUUGGAUGUCAAAAAGACAAGAGGAAGGAGAGACAAAAAAGAAAGUAC
ensembl:lncRNA